rnacentral:tRNA from 1 species
GCCCUGGUGGUGGAAUUGGCAGACACACCAGAAUGAGGUUCUGACGCUGAAAAGCGUGUCGGUUCGACCCCGACCCAGGGCA